UUGUUCUUUAGUCAGAGGCCAAUAGGCUUCACAGGUGAGGUAAUAGGCUGCCUCUAUGUGGACGUUAUGACAGUAUGACUUAUUGUUCCUCUCUCUCCUCUACAGCUCAUGUACUGAUAGUGUGCUGCCCUCUAGUGGGUCUGUUCAAUAAGAGCCAAACCCGGAGCAAAAAUCUACAUCUGUCCAAUUCCCUUGGUUUUGUUCAUAGAUUAAGAACAAGGUUUUAAAAUGAACAUGUCAUAAUUAUAAUGCACAAAACAAGAGUUAAACAAACUGUUUUUAAUGUGAUUGUUGUAUGAGCUAUUAUUAAAGACAAACAUUUGAUAUUUUGAAUGAAUUCCAGAAUGGCCAUCUAGUACACACUCAGUCAGUCAGACGUAGUGACAAGUUAGUCUUUACUUUAUUUCAGCUUUUGAUUACAUGGCAAUGAUAGAAACCUCAAAUCAAACACUACGAAACAAAAAUAAAAAUGGCUAAUAAUAACAUCAUAUUGCUACAUUAAAACUCCAAAAUAACAUGAAAAAACAGAUAAAUCCACUAUACAUUUAAGUAUAUACAACCUUGAUAAAUAACCAGUAACCAAACUGUGUCUAUAUUUCUGAUUGUUUUAUUUGCUGUUUCCUUGUCAUCUCUAUAAGCAGUCUGCUGAGACGAGGCUAGGAGAAACUCAUCAGAGAAACAGGGCUAUGUGCUAUGGAAGCAGAUUCUUGGCACAAAAAAAAGAUUGAAAUAAAACUAAUACUGAUGAAUAAUUUGUCAAUAUCACUGCUUCUUUAUUUUUGGCAUGAAUGUGCCUCCAUAAAUGAGGAAAACCAUGAAUAACAGACAGCCAGGCACUGAUCACAGAGUAGAGAAGGUUUUAUGCACAAAUAAAACUGCAUUUGCUGGAUGCAAUUGUGAUGCCAUGUAUGAUUCCACUUUAAAAAACAAAUCAUGUAAACCACAGCUGACUGCAGAGGUCUUUCACUGGGAGAGUAGUUCACCACUAUGGAGCAUAGUGGUACAUUCCUGAUCAGAGUAGUUCCACCACUAUGGAGCAUAGUGGUACAUUCCUGAUCAGAGUAUUCCACCACUAUGGAGCAUAGUGGUACAUUCCUGAUCAGAGUAGUUCCACCACUAUGGAGCAUAGUGGUACAUUCCUGAUCAGAGUAUUCCACCACUAUGGAGCAUAGUGGUACAUUCCUGAUCAGAGUAGUUCCACCACUAUGGAGCAUAGUGGUACAUUCCUGAUCAGAGUAGUUCCAUCACUAUGGAGCAUAGUGGUACAUUCCUGAUCAGAGUAGUUCCAUCACUAUGGAGCAUAGUGGUACAUUCCUGAUCAACAGCUGUGUUUUGUCUCAAAUCCAAUCCAAACAUUCCAGGGUGUUCCAAUUAGGAACGGACAGUCCACUGCCCAGGCUUGGUUUGUCUUACAGGUAUUAUUACUGUAUUCCUAGGUGUUGUUUGUCUUACAGGUAUUAUUACUGUAUUCCUAGGUGUUGUUUGUCUUACAGGUAUUAUUACUGUAUUCCUAGGCGUUGUUUGUCUUACAGGUAUUAUUACUGUAUUCCUAGGCGUUGUUUGUCUUACAGGUAUUAUUACUGUAUUCCUAGUACAGUAAAGGAUGCAACAGCUAUCUGAAAUAAG